CUGAUGGAGUGGGCAUCCAUGGGCUGGCAGUGAUGGAGUGGGCAUCAAUGGGGUGGGAAUUGAUGGUCUGGGCAUCCAUGGGUUGGCCAUCAAUGGGCUGGAAGUGAUGGAGGGGGCAUCAAUGGGUUGGAACUGAUGGAGUGGGCAUCAGUGGGCUGGAAGUGGUGGACUGGGAUGAACUGGGCUGGAAGUGGUGGACUGGGAAUCAAUGGGUUGGCCAUCAAUGGGCUGGCAUUGGUGGACUGGGCAUCAAUGGAGUGGGCAUCCAUGGGCUGGAAGUGGUGAACUGGGAUGAACUGGGCUGGCAUCAAUGGGCUGGCAGUGGUGGACCGGGAAUCAAUGGGUUGGCCAUCCAUGGGCUGGAAGUGGUGGACUGGGAAGAACUGGGCUGGCAUCAAUGGGCUGGCAUUGGUGGACUGGGAAUCAAUGGGCUGGAAGUGAUGGAGUGGGCAUCCAUGGGCUGGCAGUGAUGGACUGGGAUGAACUGGGCUGGCAUCAAUGGGCUGGAAGUGAUGGACUGGGAAGAACUGGGCUGGGAACUGAUGGAGUGGGCAUCAAUGGGUUGGCCAUCAAUGGGCUGGCAGUGGUGGAGUAGGCAUCAGUGAGCUGGACGUGAUGGACUGGGAAUCAAUGAGUUGGCCAUCCAUGAGCUGGAAUUGGUGAACUGGGAAGAACUGAGCUGGAAGUGGUGGACUGGGAAGAACUGGGCUGGCAAUGAUGGAGUGGGCAUCUAUGGGUUGGCCAUCAAUGGGCUGGCAGUGGUGAACUGGGAAUCAAUGGGCUGGAAGUGAUGGACUGGGGAUCAAUGGGGUGGGCAUCAGUGGGGUGG
ensembl:lncRNA